rnacentral:lncRNA from 1 species
AUUCUUAUUCCAUUGAACAAUUUGCCACUGUCUUUCAGGCAGAAAUCUAUGCUAUUUUUGCAUGUGUUAAAAUCAGUCCUGAUAGGAAUUAUGCUAAUAAACAUAUAGUAUUUAUAUUCUAUUGGACAGUCAAGCUGCAGUAAAAGCACAUGAUAGCUCUUCUUUACUUCAAAGUUUGUGUGAGAAUGUCAUCAUCUCAUUGUGGAAUUGGCUACCAGGAACAGAGUUCAACUUGAUUUAAUGCCAUGGCACAAAGGAAUUAAGAGCAAUGAGAUUGCAAAUAGUCUGACUAAGGAAGAGGCUUCUUGUCCCUUUCUCGGAUCAGAACCUGCUCUGGACAUCACAUCUGAUAUUCAGGGCAGAUUGACAACUCACCACUUCUCCCAUUGAAGUCUAUUCCUGAACUCUAAGGCAAGCAAAAGCUCUCAUUUUAGGUCCUUCAUUAGAGAGAAUUAGAGUUACUUGAAUUACAUAAAAAUCAAAUAAGGAUUGUUACAAAGGUCCUUACAAGGCAGUGUCAUCUUAGGAAACAACUUAUUUGGGAUUGCUGAUAAUCCCAAUUGUAAAAGUGUUAGAGAGGAAAUGAAACCUCACAUAUUAUGUGAAUAUGUAGCUCUUUCAAGGCUGAUAUUAUAUUUUCUAUGGUUGUGUUUUUCCAUGCCACAAAAUCUUUUUUACAGUCCUAGUGAAGAAGAUAUUGUCUUUUGUAGGGAAGGAGGGACUUCUUAUGGAAUGAUCCUGUUAGAAAUGCAAAAUAGAUCACUGUUGGUUACAGUGCUGGAGCUUUUUAAAGAUCACCUCUUUCCUGUAAUCAUCAUCAUUAUAAGCCAUUAGUUCAUCUGUAUAAAAACUCAGUGAUUUAUUUUGUCAGCAAUGAUUAUGAUGAAGAAGAUUAAAAAUUCUUUAACGUUUUAUAUGC